UGUGAUAACAAAAUAAAAAUGAAGGACGAAAGUAAUACACCACUCAAAAUUGAUGGAUGACUGGCAAAAAUUAACCCACUUCUAAUUGCAUUAUUAUUACCAUGCUGUCCCAAAAUAAAACUAUACAAUCCUCUUGGAAAUGGAACUCUCAAACAAAUCUCUUUUUACCGGAAUACCUUAAGAAUACAAGUCAAUUGCCAUCACAAACAUAGCCAGAUAUGCUUAGCACACACAUACAAAAAGGGAGUGAGAGUUGAACUGCAGUUAAAUUAAUGAGGCAACACUUGCUGUCAAUUGAAGAAGGAAAAAUAUGCAUCACCCUCUUCUUUCCUUUGCAAAGUACCCUAUAAAUUUAGAGAGAAAUUGCUCAAAGACCCAUAUUUGAAGACAACCAUUUAUUUACAUCAGUUCCAUAGUAGAGAGAUCCAUUUGCAUAGAAACAACAAUGAGCUUAAAAUAGAAAAAGAAGGUAGGUUAAUUUGAAGGUAGAGAGGGAUGUGAAAACCAGCAUCUUGGGAUGAUGACAUCAAAAACCAAAUUAAAAUUCCCUUCUCAUCCACCUAUACUGUACCUCAAAGCUUACCACCAAUAGCCGUCACAGCUUUUUCAUAUUUCCCAGCAUCUUGUCAAUCUCCAAUACUACUUCAAUAUCUCAACAGACAAUUCAUAAGAGAAAGUAAUCAAACAGGAAGCAAAGGACAUGGGACUCUUUGAUUCGAUGAUUACAUACCACAAUGGCACCGUAUAAGUUGAGGAGCAUUGUUCCGUAAUUUCACCUUUCAUGUGUAACAGAUGGAUAACAAAAAAUCAUCUCUCCACAGAGAAAAGUGAUGGAACCACCCUCUACUAUUUCUUUUACUUAACAUAUGCGACUGAUGAAACUACUGACCAAGAGGAGCCAGUUGAAGAUACACACACACACACAACUAUAUUGCUAUGAUUUUUUCCCAUUAGGUUUCGGUGACUGGUAUGGCUGGUUAUAUGGAGAAGCACGUGAAUCACUUAUACUGGAUAAGCUCCUCAGUGGUUGUCCAUUCCUUGUUACAAAUCCUCCUUGUGUUCUGAUGCCAUUUUUAUUAUGCAAACUUGACUUGUUACGAUCUGCUUGCAUAGCCUGGAAAUAAUAGGAAGAGCUGGCCAUAUCCUUCAAGUUAAGCAAAGGCUUUAGUGUUUCAACAACUUCACUCAUUCGGGGUCUAGCUUUGGGAUCACGGCUAAGACACUGGGCGGCCAGUUGUAUGGCUUUCGGAGCACCUUUUAUUGAAAAGUGACCUUCAAGACGAGGGUCUAAUAACCGGUAGAACCUUCUCCUAUCUCCGAAAUGAGGUCUUGCCCAUUCAACAAGGUUGUGCUCCCCAUUUGGGCGGUUUUUGUCCAUAGAUCUUCGGCCAGUCAGCAUUUCAAGCAAAACUACUCCAAAACUGUAGACAUCACUCUUUUCUGUCAAUUGCUGAUUUGCAUAAUA
rnacentral:misc_RNA from 1 species